rnacentral:lncRNA from 1 species
CAGAUUUUCCUACUACAUUUGACAGAGCUAUGUGGAAUAUAGAAAAGGUUGUUAUUGAGGACCAACCUGACCACUUAAUCUCCAAUGUAAAAACUCUAAUGUUUUUUUAACUAACAUAGCCGUGGUUACGAAGAACAAGAAGAAAAUGAACAAAUAGUUUACCAAAUAGUUUUAAGCACUAUUGUUUGGUUUUAGGCACAAUUAUCUGUUUUUUUUAUUUAUUUUUUAUUUUUUAUUUUUAAAUUGCCCAAUAAGGAUUACUGUUUUUGUUUGAGCAUCUUAUCUAGGAUUUUCUCUAUCAUUAAUCGAAUUUAGCUCUUCAUGAUUAAUCGAUUAAUCCUGAAUCACGAAUGAUAAGGUGAGCUUUCUAAUGUUGAAUUCCAUUAGUUUUUGUCUUCAUGUUGGAAAAUUCGGUCAUGAGCAAAUCAAAAAAUUACUGCUUACCUCCAGCAACAUGUACCUUGCCAAAGGAUGAGGCAAACCCCUGCAUUCUGAUGAUACGGUAUGGAUCACUAGCUAACAUCACUUCUUCUACUAUGAGACAAAAAGUUCUCCAACAUUCUUCUACUUUCUCUUCUUCUAGAGAUAGAGGACCCAGUAUCUCUGGAGAAGAUAGAGAGUCCCUCGACAUCUCCGGAUAAGAAUCAAGGUUAUGAAAGCAGUGAGCCGUCCAAUGACUCAAUCGCAAAUGAGAUAAAGAAAGUAGAAACAUAUAUGUUGGAAUAUCCAGAUUUUCCUAUUACAUUUGACAGAGCUAUGUGGAAAAUAGAAAAGGUUGUUAUUGAGGACCAACCUGACCACUUAAUCUCCAAUGUAAAAACUCUAAUGUUUUUUUUACUAACAUAGCCGUGGUUACGAAGAACAAGAAGAAAAUGAACAAAUAGUUUACCAAAUAGUUUUAAGCACUAUUGUUUGGUUUUAGGCACAAUUAUCUGUUUUUUUAAUUAUUUUUUAUUUUUUAUUUUUAAAUUGCCCAAUAAGGAUUACUGUUUUUGUUUGAGCAUCUUAUCUAGGAUUUUCUCUAUCAUUAAUCGAAUUUAGCUCUUCAUGAUUAAUCGAUUAAUCCUGAAUCACGAAUGAUAAGGUGAGCUUUCUA